ACCCGCUGAACUUAAGCAUAUCAAUAAGCGGAGGAAAAGAAACCAACAGGGAUUGCCCUAGUAACGGCGAGUGAAGCGGCAACAGCUCAAAUUUGAAAUCUGGCGUCUUUGGCGUCCGAGUUGUAAUUUGCAGAGGGCGCUUUGGCAUUGGCAGCGGUCCAAGUUCCUUGGAACAGGACGUCACAGAGGGUGAGAAUCCCGUACGUGGUCGCUAGCCUUUACCGUGUAAAGCCCCUUCGACGAGUCGAGUUGUUUGGGAAUGCAGCUCUAAAUGGGAGGUAAAUUUCUUCUAAAGCUAAAUACUAGCCAGAGACCGAUAGCGCACAAGUAGAGUGAUCGAAAGAUGAAAAGCACUUUGGAAAGAGAGUUAAAAAGCACGUGAAAUUGUUGAAAGGGAAGCGCUUGCAGCCAGACUUGCCUGUAGUUGCUCAUCCGGGUUUUUACCCGGUGCACUCUUCUAUAGGCAGGCCAGCAUCAGUUUGGGCGGUUGGAUAAAGGUCUCUGUCAUGUACCUCUCUUCGGGGAGAACUUAUAGGGGAGACGACAUGCAACCAGCCCGGACUGAGGUCCGCGCAUCUGCUAGGAUGCUGGCGUAAUGGCUGU
rnacentral:rRNA from 1 species